GUACGUUGUGUACUAGAUGUCUGGCUCGAACAGAUAAGGAGCUUGCUCCUUUGACGUUAGCGGCGGACGGGUGAGUAACACGUGGGUAACCUACCUAUAAGACUGGAAUAACUCCGGGAAACCGGGGCUAAUGCCGGAUAACAUAUAGAACCGCAUGGUUCUAUAGUGAAAGAUGGUUUUGCUAUCACUUAUAGAUGGACCCGCGCCGUAUUAGCUAGUUGGUAAGGUAAUGGCUUACCAAGGCGACGAUACGUAGCCGACCUGAGAGGGUGAUCGGCCACACUGGAACUGAGACACGGUCCAGACUCCUACGGGAGGCAGCAGUAGGGAAUCUUCCGCAAUGGGCGAAAGCCUGACGGAGCAACGCCGCGUGAGUGAUGAAGGGUUUCGGCUCGUAAAACUCUGUUAUUAGGGAAGAACAUAUGUGUAAGUAACUGUGCACAUCUUGACGGUACCUAAUCAGAAAGCCACGGCUAACUACGUGCCAGCAGCCGCGGUAAUACGUAGGUGGCAAGCGUUAUCCGGAAUUAUUGGGCGUAAAGCGCGCGUAGGCGGUUUCUUAAGUCUGAUGUGAAAGCCCACGGCUCAACCGUGUAGGGUCAUUGGAAACUGGGAAACUUGAGUGCAGAAGAGGAAAGUGGAAUUCCAUGUGUAGCGGUGAAAUGCGCAGAGAUAUGGAGGAACACCAGUGGCGAAGGCGACUUUCUGGUCUGUAACUGACGCUGAUGUGCGAAAGCGUGGGGAUCAUACAGGAUUAGAUACCCUGAUAGUCCACGCCGUAGACGAUGAGUGCUAGUGUUAGGGGGUUUCCGCCCCUUUAGUGCUGCAGCUAACGCAUUAAGCACUCCGCCUGGGGAGUACGACUGCAAGUUGAAACUCAAAGGCAUUGACGGGGACCCGGCACUAGCGGUGGAGCAUGUGGUUUAAUUCGAAGCAACGCGAAGAACCUUACCAAAUCUUGACAUCCUUUGACCACUCUAGAGAUAGAGCUUUCCCCUUCGGGGGACAAAGUGACAGGUGGUGCAUGGUUGUCGUCAGCUCGUGUCGUGAGAUGUUGGGUUAAGUCCCGCAACGAGCGCAACCCUUAAGCUUAGUUGCCAUCAUUAAGUUGGGCACUCUAGGUUGACU
rnacentral:rRNA from 1 species